rnacentral:rRNA from 1 species
GACGUACCACCCAAACGUUAUUCGGAAUCACUGGGCUUAAAGGGUCCGUAGGCGGUCAGGAAAGUUGGGUGUGAAAUCCCUCAGCUCAACUGAGGAAUUGCGCUCAAAACUACCUGGCUUGAGAAAGACAGAGGUGAGCGGAACUGAUGGUGGAGCGGUGAAAUGCAUUGAUAUCAUCAGGAACACCGGUGGCGAAAGCGGCUCACUGGGUCUUUUCUGACGCUGAUGGACGAAAGCUAGGGGAGCGAACGGG